AAGAAGAAGCAGCAGCAAAAGCCAUCCAUCCAUCCGUCUCUCGCGACCACAAAACACAAUUUCAUUAAAAUUCUUUCUGUUCUUUUUGUGUUAGAUCCUACAAUUCCUAUUCAUUUUUUUGUUGGUUUACUAUCUCUUUGUUCAACCGUAUAUGUGCAAUAUCUAAAAAUCAAAAGUUUAAAACAGGAAAAAUCAAAUACCUAGUUUGCUUGCUUGGAGAAGUAAAUCGAAAUCCAGAAUCAUCAAUAAGAAGUAGCAAAGAUUCUUCUGUUAAAACGCGUUUCGUUCUUCCCAGUGUAAAAUAUCAUUCAAGAGCAAAAAAUUUAGAAAUCCUGAAAAAUUGUGUUGAGUUUUUUUAUUUGUCCGGCAACAGAUACCUAUAUAAGAGAAAUUGUUUAUAUACGCCUAUGUUGUCCAACUUGCAGCAGGUCAUCACUAUUUUUUUGAAAUCUAAUUUCAAAUCUCGUCAGUUUAACGUUUUCUUCUUCGAACAAAAAUUUUAAGUUUUGUAUUUUGUUUAUUUUUGUGUUAAAUACAUUUUAUGCUUAAAUGGAUGCAACAUCUAUAAUCACCCAAGUCGCCCGCGAUGACGAACAACUGAAUGUAUAUCCAAAUGAAAAAGGUAUGUUCACGUGACAAACAAUGAAGAGCCAGCGAUUACAAUAGAAUUUAAUAGCAUUAAAAAUGAAAGAAGAAUCGAUGUGAUUGUAUGACAUUUAAACAGGUAAUUGCUGCAAUAUAACUGAAGUAAAAUAGGGAAACUACAUUCUGUUGAAAUUACUGAAGGUAUAUUG
rnacentral:sRNA from 1 species